UACAGAGGGGGCAAGCGUUAUUCGGAAUUAUUGGGCGUAAAGGGCGCGUAGGCGGCUUGGCAAGUGGAUGGUGAAAUCCCUCGGCUUAACCGAGGAACUGCCGUCCAAACUGCUUCGCUUGAGACCGGGAGAGGUGAGUGGAAUUCCCAGUGUAGCGGUGAAAUGCGUAGAUAUUGGGAGGAACACCAGUGGCGAAGGCGGCUCACUGGACCGGUACUGACGCUGAUGCGCGAAAGCGUGGGGAGCGAUCCGG
rnacentral:rRNA from 1 species